rnacentral:rRNA from 1 species
UACGUAGGGUGCGAGCGUUAAUCGGAAUUACUGGGCGUAAAGCGUGCGCAGGCGGUUUUGUAAGCCAGAUGUGAAAGCCCCGGGCUUAACCUGGGAAUGGCCGUUGAAACUGGCGAACUGGAGUGUGGCAGAGGGGGGUGGAAUUCCGCGUGUAGCAGUGAAAUGCGUAGAGAUGCGGAGGAACACCGAUGGCGAAGGCAGCCCCCUGGGCUGACACUGACGCUCAGGCACGAAAGCGUGGGGAGCAAACAGG